AAAAGUUCUAAUACGUGUUCAGGAUUGUACUGGGAUUGUUACUUUGACGUUGUUUGAACGUGAAGUUGUUAAACUGAUAAAGGUUAACGCAAACCAGCUGUUGGAUAAAAACAUGGAGUUAGCCAGCGAAGGUAACUUUCCCAAGGAGCUGAAGGCAUUGCUAAAUAGGAGGUUUGCGUUUAAGAUAGCCAUAGGUUAAUUUAACAUAAAAAAACAAAUCAGAUGGCUACUCGGUGUCGAAGUUGACUGAAAAUCCUGCAAUCAUCAAAGAUCUUGAUAGGCAUUUUGAUGCUUUCCAGUCUGCUGAUGAUGAACCUUUAAAUGUUGUUCCUUCUGAUUCAAAUCCAACUGUUAACAUCCAAAUCCGGGUCUGUGAAACAAAUUCUUU